UACGUAGGGUGCGAGCGUUGUCCGGAAUUAUUGGGCGUAAAGAGCUCGUAGGCGGUUUGUCGCGUCUGCCGUGAAAGUCCGGGGCUCAACUCCGGAUCUGCGGUGGGUACGGGCAGACUAGAGUGAUGUAGGGGAGACUGGAAUUCCUGGUGUAGCGGUGAAAUGCGCAGAUAUCAGGAGGAACACCAAUGGCGAAGGCAGCUCGCUGGGACGGUACUGACGCUGAGGCGCGAAAGCGUGGGGAGCAAACAGG
rnacentral:rRNA from 1 species